rnacentral:rRNA from 1 species
AACUCGCCUGCAUGAAGCCGGAAUCGCUAGUAAUCGCGGAUCAGCAUGCCGCGGUGAAUCCGUUCCCGGGCCUUGUACACACCGCCCGUCACACCACGAGAGUUUGUAACACCCAAAGUCGGUGCGGCAACCCUUAGGGGAGCCAGCCGCCUAAGGUGGGACGAAUGAUUGGGGUGAAGUCGUAACAAGGUAGCCGUAUCGGAAGGUGCGGCUGGAUCACCUCCUUU